rnacentral:ncRNA from 21 species
AAAAAUUGAGGAUAGAACAGGCAGCUAUCACACCUAAUAGGUAUUGAAAGAGAUGUGGGAAGGUCACCCCACCAGUAUUU